UACAGAGGGUGCGAGCGUUAAUCGGAAUUACUGGGCGUAAAGGGCGCGUAGGCGGCCUGAUAAGUUGACUGUGAAAGACAAGGGCUUAACUCUUGGAGGUCAGUCAAGACUAUCAGGCUCGAGUAGGAGAGAGGUGAGUGGAAUUUCCGGUGUAGCAGUGAAAUGCGUAGAUAUCGGAAAGAACAUCAGUGGCGAAGGCGGCUCACUGGCUCCAUACUGACGCUGAGGCGCGAAAGCGUGGGGAGCAAAC
rnacentral:rRNA from 1 species